rnacentral:rRNA from 1 species
GUCCAGACUCCUACGGGAGGCAGCAGUGGGGAAUAUUGCACAAUGGGGGAAACCCUGAUGCAGCGACGCCGCGUGAGCGAUGAAGUAUUUCGGUAUGUAAAGCUCUAUCAGCAGGGAAGAAGAUGACGGUACCUGACUAAGAAGCCCCGGCUAACUACGUGCCAGCAGCCGCGGUAAUACGUAGGGGGCACGCGUUAUCCGGAUUUACUGGGUGUAAAGGGAGCGUAGACGGCGAUGCAAGCCAGAUGUGAAAGCCCGGGGCUCAACCCCGGGACUGCAUUUGGAACUGUGUGGCUGGAGUGUCGGAGAGGCAGGCGGAAUUCCUAGUGUAGCGGUGAAAUGCGUAGAUAUUAGGAGGAACACCAGUGGCGAAGGCGGCCUGCUGGACGAUGACUGACGUUGAGGCUCGAAAGCGUGGGGAGCAAACAGGAUUAGAUACCCCGGUA